CACGGGGGAACGCGAAGAACCUUACCUAGGCUUGACAUACUAGUGGUAGGGAACCGAAAGGGGACCGACCUUCGGGAGCUAGUACAGGUGCUGCAUGGCUGUCGUCAGCUCGUGCCGUGAGGUGUUAGGUUAAGUCCUGUAACGAGCGCAACCCUCGCUGCCAGUUACAAGUGUCUGGCGGGACUGCCGGUGACAAACCGGAGGAAGGUGGGGAUGACGUCAAGUCAGCAUGGCCUUUAUGUCUGGGGCCACACACGUGCUACAAUGGCAGGUACAAACCGUCGCGAGACCGCAAGGUGGAGCUAAUCGGAGAAAGCCUGUCUCAGUUCGGAUUGUCGGCUGCAACUCGCCGGCAUGAAGUUGGAAUCGCUAGUAAUCGCGGAUCAGCACGCCGCGGUGAAUACGUUCCCGGGUCUUGUACACACGC
rnacentral:rRNA from 1 species